AGUGAACGCUGGCGGUAGGCCUAACACAUGCAAGUCGAACGGCAGCACAGUAAGAGCUUGCUCUUACGGGUGGCGAGUGGCGGACGGGUGAGGAAUACAUCGGAAUCUACUUUUUCGUGGGGGAUAACGUAGGGAAACUUACGCUAAUACCGCAUACGACCUACGGGUGAAAGCAGGGGAUCUUCGGACCUUGCGCGAUUGAAUGAGCCGAUGUCGGAUUAGCUAGUUGGCGGGGUAAAGGCCCACCAAGGCGACGAUCCGUAGCUGGUCUGAGAGGAUGAUCAGCCACACUGGAACUGAGACACGGUCCAGGCGCCUACGGGAGGCAGCAGUGGGGAAUAUUGGACAAUGGGCGCAAGCCUGAUCCAGCCAGACCGCGUGGGUGAAGAAGGCCUUCGGGUUGUAAAGCCCUUUUGUUGGGAAAGAAAAGCAGCAGGUUAAUACCCCGCUGUUCUGACGGUACCCAAAGAAUAAGCACCGGCUAACUUCGUG
rnacentral:rRNA from 1 species